rnacentral:rRNA from 1 species
UCUACCUACGGGACGCAGCAGUGGGGAAUAUUGCACAAUGGGGGAAACCCUGAUGCAGCAACGCCGCGUGAGUGAAGAAGCAUUUCGGUAUGUAAAGCUCUAUCAGUAGGGAAGAAGAAAGACGGUACCUGACUAAGAAGCCCCGGCUAACUACGUGCCAGCAGCCGCGGUAAUACGUAGGGGGCAAGCGUUAUCCGGAUUUACUGGGUGUAAAGGGAGCGUAGACGGCAUAGCAAGUCUGAAGUGAAAGCCCGUGGCUCAACCGCGGAACUGCUUUGGAAACUGUUAAGCUGGAGUACUGGGGG